rnacentral:tRNA from 1 species
GGGCCCAUAGCUCAGUCGGUUAGAGCUGCGGACUCAUAAUCCGUUGGUCCCUGGUUCGAGUCCAGGUGGGCCCACCA